AGAGUUUGAUCCUGGCUCAGAUUGAACGCUGGCGGCAUGCCUUACACAUGCAAGUCGAACGGCAGCGCGGGGCAACCUGGCGGCGAGUGGCGAACGGGUGAGUAAUAUAUCGGAACGUACCCUGGAGUGGGGGAUAACGUAGCGAAAGUUACGCUAAUACCGCAUACGAUCUAAGGAUGAAAGUGGGGGAUCGCAAGACCUCAUGCUCCUGGAGCGGCCGAUAUCUGAUUAGCUAGUUGGUGGGGUAAAGGCCUACCAAGGCAUCGAUCAGUAGCUGGUCUGAGAGGACGACCAGCCACACUGGGACUGAGACACGGCCCAGACUCCUACGGGAGGCAGCAGUGGGGAAUUUUGGACAAUGGGCGCAAGCCUGAUCCAGCAAUGCCGCGUGAGUGAAGAAGGCCUUCGGGUUGUAAAGCUCUUUUGUCAGGGAAGAAACGGUUCGGGCUAAUACCCUGGGCUAAUGACGGUACCUGAAGAAUAAGCACCGGCUAACUACGUGCCAGCAGCCGCGGUAAUA
rnacentral:rRNA from 1 species